rnacentral:rRNA from 1 species
UAAUACGUAGGAUGCAAGCGUUGUCCGGAUUUACUGGGCGUAAAGCGCGCGCAGGCGGUCUUGUAAGUAUGGCGUGAAAUCUCCCUGCUCAACGGGGAGGGUGCGUUGUAGACUGCAGGACUUGAGGUCGGUAGAGGGGGGUGGAAUUGCUGGUGUAGCGGUGAAAUGCGUAGAGAUCAGCAGGAACACCCGUGGCGAAGGCGGCCCCCUGGGCCGUACCUGACGCUGAGGCGCGAAGGCUAGGGGAGCGACCCGGAUUAGAUACCCGGUUAGUCCUAGCAGUAAACGAUGGAUACUAGGUGUGGGGGGUGUUGACCCCUCCUGUGCCGAAGCUAACGCAUUAAGUAUCCCGCCUGGGGAGUACGGUCGCAAGACUA